rnacentral:rRNA from 1 species
UACGUAGGGUCCGAGCGUUGUCCGGAAUUAUUGGGCGUAAAGGGCUCGUAGGCGGUCUGUCACGUCGGGAGUGAAAACUCAGGGCUCAACCCUGAGCGUGCUUCCGAUACGGGCAGACUAGAGGUAGGUAGGGGAGAUCGGAAUUCCUGGUGUAGCGGUGAAAUGCGCAGAUAUCAGGAGGAACACCGGUGGCGAAGGCGGAUCUCUGGGCCUUACCUGACGCUGAGGCGCGAAAGCUAGGGGAGCAAACAGG